rnacentral:rRNA from 1 species
CCCUUAGAUGUUCUGGGCCGCACGCGCGCUACACUGAUGCAUUCAACGAGUUUCUUCCUGGUCCGAGAGGAAUGGGUAACCUUUUGAAAGUGCAUCGUGAUAGGGAUAGACUAUUGCAAUUAUUGGUCUUCAACGAGGAAUUCCUAGUAGACGUAGUUCAUCAGACUGCAUCGAUUACGUCCCUGCCCUUUGUACACACCGCCCGUCGCUCCUACCGAUUGAGCGAUCCAAUGAAUGUUUCGGAGCGGAACUGAGAUGCUAAUGCGUCUCUUUUACGCGAAUUUGUGUGAAUUUGAUCGCUUAGAGGAAGGAGAAGUCGUAACA